UACGAGAGGCCCAAACGUUAUUCGGAAUUACUGGGCUUAAAGAGUUCGUAGGCGGCGCAGAAAGUAGGGUGUGAAAGCCCUCGGCUCAACCGAGGAAUUGCGCUCUAAACUACUGUGCUUGAGGAAUCUAGAGGUGAGCGGAACUGAUGGUGGAGCGGUGAAAUGCGUUGAUAUCAUCAGGAACACCGGAGGCGAAGGCGGCUCACUGGGGAUUUUCUGACGCCGAGGAACGAAAGCCAGGGGAGCGAACGGG
rnacentral:rRNA from 1 species